GAGGAUGUAGCUCAAUGGUAGAGUGCCUGCCUACCAUGCACAAGGCCCUGGGUUCAAUCUCUAGCACCACCA
rfam:Heterocephalus glaber contig83289, whole genome shotgun sequence.